rnacentral:lncRNA from 1 species
GUAUUUAAUACACGACUUCGAUGUUGGCUAUUCAACUUUCAAUUUUCAACUGCCGUUUUACUUGCAACGCGUUCGUCAGGUUCGUUCAACAGUGUCAGGGUUGUAUUGUUAAGUAAAUAUAUUCUAAGUCUUUCGUCCACUGCGGUGUUGCCGUCCUACAUACAUAUAUACACAAUUUAUGCAAUGUCAGUAAUUGCAAAGCAACCGACAAAUUUAUUGGAGUUAACUGAAAUCAUUCAAAACAAUUUAGCAAUCGUAAGAAAUUAUUUAAAAAAGAAAAAGAAUAUUGAAUACGCAACGUUGCUUUAUUCAAAGAAAAGAAAAAUUGUUAGAAAAGUGCCUAAAUGCAUAAGCUUCUUUGAGACCAUAAAAAAGAUGCCUUCUGAUAUGUUUUAUUCUCAUUUCCGUAUGGAAACUGCAACAUUUGAGCUAUUCGAGGCAAGCAGAGCGCAUCCCUUUCCUUUUGUUUUGGGUUGUGUCGACGGGACCCAUAUUCGUAUUCCACAACCUUCAACAGGCGGUAUAAGUUAUUAUAACAGAAAGGGCACAAGCUCAAUUGUUCUACAGACUGUUGCUGAUAGAGAACUGCGAUUCACAGACGCUUUUGUGGGAUACCCCGGCCGAUGCCACGAUGCUUUAGUAUGGCAGAACAGUCCACUUAAAAGGGCAAUUGUCAACAAUCAUAUUUCCUUUCCACCGGAAUGUCACCUUUUGGGUGAUGGGGCUUACCCUUUGGAAAUAUAUUUGAUGGUUCCAUAUAAGGACAAUGGAUUUUUAACACCUGCACAAAUUAUAUUCAACAAUGUUUUAGCUUCCACAAGAGUGUGUGUGGAACAAGCUUUCGGUAUUUUGAAAACCAAGUUCCGUAUUUUAAACUAUGUUGAUGUACAAAACCCCAAAGUGGCUAAACAAAUAAUAAUGUCAUGUUUGGUACUCCAUAACUUUAUAAUUAACAAAGAAAAACCUUCUGAAAUAGUGUACGAUGAAAGCGAACAUUUUCAUAUGUCCCUUAAUGCUCAACAAUAUUUGGUUGCAGCAAGUGAUAAAAGAAAUUGGUUAACUACAUUAUUUUCAGCUUGAAGAGCGCAAUAAAAACAUUUUUAUUGAAGAAAACGUGUCUUUUAUUAGGUAUUAAAAAAUAAAACAUUG